AGAAUCAACGCUGGCGGCGUGCCUAACACAUGCAAGUCGAACGAGAAAGUGGUAGCAAUACCAUGAGUAAAGUGGCGCACGGGUGAGUAACACGUGACUAACCUACCCUUGAGUGGGGGAUAACUGAGGGAAACCUUAGCUAAUACCGCAUAAUACCCACGGGUCAAAGGAGCAAUUCGCUCGAGGAGGGGGUCGCGGACCGAUUAGUUAGUUGGCAGGGUUAAUGGCCUACCAAGACGAUGAUCGGUA
rnacentral:rRNA from 1 species